UUGGGCGUGACGCUUAUUGCGUGAUACUCUGCAAAGGUAUUGUAGGUAUUUAUACCCUCGCCUUUA
rnacentral:tRNA from 1 species